rnacentral:tRNA from 1 species
GUGCUCGUAGUCGAGUGGAUAAGACGUUAGCCUCCGGAGCUAAAAAUCGCGGGUUCGACUCCCGCCGAGCACGCCA